rnacentral:rRNA from 1 species
AGUGAACGCUGGCGGUAGGCCUAACACAUGCAAGUCGAACGGCAGCACAGUAAGAGCUUGCUCUUACGGGUGGCGAGUGGCGGACGGGUGAGGAAUACAUCGGAAUCUACUUUUUCGUGGGGGAUAGCGUAGGGAAACUUACGCUAAUACCGCAUACGACCUACGGGUGAAAGCAGGGGAUCUUCGGGCCUUGCGCGAUUGAAUGAGCCGAUGUCGGAUUAGCUAGUUGGCGGGGUAAAGGCCCACCAAGGCGACGAUCCGUAGCUGGUCUGAGAGGAUGAUCAGCCACACUGGAACUGAGACACGGUCCAGACUCCUACGGGAGGCAGCAGUGGGGAAUAUUGGACAAUGGGCGCAAGCCUGAUCCAGCCAUACCGCGUGGGUGAAGAAGGCCUUCGGGUUGUAAAGCCCUUUUGUUGGGAAAGAAAAGCAGCAGGUUAAUACCCCGCUGUUCUGACGGUACCCAAAGAAUAAGCACCGGCUAACUUCGUG